AGAGUUUGAUCCUGGCUCAGAAUCAACGCUGGCGGCGCGCUUAACACAUGCAAGUCGCACGAGAAAGCAGGAGCAAUCUUGUGAGUAAAGUGGCGUACGGGUGAGUAACACGUGGAUCAUCUACCUUUUAGUGGGGAAUACCCCUGGGAAACCGGGGACAAUACCGCAUAAGCUCGAAAGAGGAAAGCAGCAAUGCGCUGAAAGAGGAGUCCGCGGCUGAUUAGCUAGUUGGCGGGGUAACGGCCCACCAAGGCGAAGAUCGGUAGCCGGCCUGAGAGGGCACACGGCCACACUGGCACUGAAACACGGGCCAGACUCCUACGGGAGGCAGCAGUGGGGAAUCUUGCACAAUGGAGGAAACUCUGAUGCAGCGACGCCGCGUGAGCG
rnacentral:rRNA from 1 species